rnacentral:rRNA from 1 species
AUCAUUAUUGAAUAAACCUGAUGGGUUGUUGCUGGCUCUCUUGGGAGCAUGUGCACACCUUGUCAUCUUUAUAUUUCCACCUGUGCACCUUUUGUAGACCUCCCCAGGUCUAUGUUGCUUCAUUUACCCCCAAUGUAUGUUAAUAGAAUGUUGUGUCUAUAAAAUCUAUACAACUUUCAGCAACGGAUCUCUUGGCUCUCGCAUCGAUGAAGAACGCAGCGAAAUGCGAUAAGUAAUGUGAAUUGCAGAAUUCAGUGAAUCAUCGAAUCUUUGAACGCACCUUGCGCUCCUUGGUAUUCCGAGGAGCAUGCCUGUUUGAGUGUCAUUAAUAUAUAUCAACCCACUCUUGUUGAGUGGUUUGGAUGUGGAGGGUUUUGCUGGCUGCUUAAAAGGUGCCAGCUCCUCUGAAAUGCAUUAGUGGAACAACCUGUCCAUUCAUUGGUGUGAUAACUAUCUACGCUGUUGAAUGUGAGGCAGUUCAGCUAUCUAACAGUCCUUGGACAAACUUAUCAUUUAAUGUGACCUCAAAUCAGGUAGGACUACCCGC